rnacentral:siRNA from 1 species
GAGAAAAGGUCUUACAAGGUC